UACGUAGGGGGCAAGCGUUGUCCGGAAUCAUUGGGCGUAAAGCGCGUGUAGGCGGCUCGGUAAGUCUGCUGUGAAAGUCCAGGGCUCAACCCUGGGAUGCCGGUGGAUACUGUCGAGCUCGAGUCCGGAAGAGGCGAGUGGAAUUCCUGGUGUAGCGGUGAAAUGCGCAGAUAUCAGGAGGAACACCGGUGGCGAAGGCGGGUCUCUGGGCCGAUACUGACGCUGAGGCGCGAAAGCCAGGGGAGCAAACGGG
rnacentral:rRNA from 1 species